CAGGGGAGGAGAAGAAGGAGGGGGAGGAGAGACCGGCAACCAUCUUUCCCCAGAACCUUGGUAACAAAGGGGGAUCCCUACAAAGGCAGAGAAAGACCCCCCUCUCCUCUCGGGGUGACCCGAGCACCUCCCUCCCCGCUGACAUCCAGAUUCGGUUCGAGCGCAGUAUACUUUUUAAAAAAAUGUACGUGCAAAUGCAAAAUGGGACGAAACAAUGUGUGGGGAGCGGAGACCCUGCGCCCCCUACAGGGCAAAGGUCCUCAAAUCCCCCCCCCCCCGCAACCUAUGGCCAGCCCUAGGGGGCGUUCCCGAAAGCAGCGAACAGCCAAAACAAAACCUGUAGUAGUUAAUCCGGAACUAAUAAUGAAAUAAAAUAAUAAUCGCUCAGUCGCACAACCGAUCCCGUCUCCCCUUGCAGUAAUCUCAGCGAGGAUUACAGAGCUCCAGUUAAGCGCCAGGCUCAGCUCAGGCACAGAAGAAGCAGCUAUUUUGGAAUGGGAGCCCCGGAAAACGUGGAAGAGGCGGCACCGCCGAGCAUGUGCAAAAUGCAUUUCCGCUCAGCUGUUAGCAACCGGAGCCCAUCUCCACAAACCUUGGGAUUAGGUAGCAGGCAGCGCUUGAUCUUUAAAAUAGUUAACUACAGGGUACCAAUUAUCCCCCCCCCUAUGAUGAACCUGGGUCAACAUAAAAGAUCCAGAGUCAGAUUUCAACUUAACCAUCAACUCGCUGAAUGCUGCCAAGCAUGUCUCUCUGGUCUGCAGCUUCAAUCUGCCCAUCAAAACUUGCAGUCAGAUGAGACAAGAAAAAUCCCUCUUUGCAAUGCAUGUUUAUUCAGAGGGAAGGAGGCAGAGAUUGAGGGAGAGAACUGAAAAACCAAGGCCCAGAAUAUCCUGGGCAGGGAGGCAAUUCUCUGGGAGACCCAUCCCUUGGGCUUUCCAAAGGAGGUUUGUUUGGACCCUUCUUUUCUUGAUGCUUGGUGGGACUCUUUUUGAGGUUGUUCUAUUUUAUAAAUUAGAGCCUCUGUUUUAGUGCUGUUUUAUUACUGCUAUGGAUUUGCUGCUGUUGCUUUUGAACUGUAGUUUUGUAUGUGUUAUAUAUACAAAACUAGUCUUGUGUGUGUGUGUGUGUCUGU